AUGUCUUUCCAGCUCGGCGGCGCAGUACACCCGGAGCGCGUCGAACGCGGGGACGAGCUCCGCAGCUUCCGAGCUUGCCUGCGCUGGAUGUGCAUCGACCACACCGACGGGCUGCCCUCCGCGGGCUCCUGGGCGGUCUUCUUCCUCCUUGCCGUCGCCGUGCCCUCGGCGGUCACCCUCGCCCUCCAGGCCUCCGCGCCGCCGCGGCCCCUGGACGGGAAGGUGCAAGUGUCCCUCACCCUCGCCGCCACGCUCGCCUUUCUCUCCCUCUACUCGCUGCUCCGGGUCGGCCUCCGCCGCCUGCUCUGCAUAGACUGUCUCCGCCAUGACUCAGACGAGGUGCGCGCCGACUACACCGCGCAGCUCAGCCACUCCUUCCGCGUCCUCGCCUGGUUCCUCCUGCCCUGCUCCCUCGCCGGCGGGCACGACGCCAUUCUCGGCUUCUCGUGGUCGUGCGUGGCAGCAGGGGCCGCCGGGGUGCAGCAGUGGUGGCGGCGGCAGGGCAAGCUGCUUCUCAUGGCCGUAUUGGCCUCUGCUGCUACUUGUCGCCUGUGGCCGCGGCUGCAGCCGGUGGUCGUGCAUGGGCACAUGUUGUUCUUUAGCGGUGACAGGUGGGGCCGGGCAGAUGCCACGUCUGGUCUUGGGGUGGUCACUAGGGUUUGA
rnacentral:rRNA from 1 species